GUCUUGCAUAUCCAAAAGCGGAGGAAAAGAAACCAACCGGGAUUGCCUUAGUAACGGCGAGUGAAGCGGCAAAAGCUCAAAUUUGAAAUCUGGUACCUUCGGUGCCCGAGUUGUAAUUUGGAGAGGGCAACUUUGGGGCCGUUCCUUGUCUAUGUUCCUUGGAACAGGACGUCAUAGAGGGUGAGAAUCCCGUGUGGCGAGGAGUGCGGUUCUUUGUAAAGUGCCUUCGAAGAGUCGAGUUGUUUGGGAAUGCAGCUCUAAGUGGGUGGUAAAUUCCAUCUAAAGCUAAAUAUUGGCGAGAGACCGAUAGCGAACAAGUACAGUGAUGGAAAGAUGAAAAGAACUUUGAAAAGAGAGUGAAAAAGUACGUGAAAUUGUUGAAAGGGAAGGGCAUUUGAUCAGACAUGGUGUUUUGUGCCCUCUGCUCCUUGUGGGUAGGGGAAUCUCGCAUUUCACUGGGCCAGCAUCAGUUUUGGUGGCAGGAUAAAUCCAUAGGAAUGUAGCUUGCCUCGGUAAGUAUUAUAGCCUGUGGGAAUACUG
rnacentral:rRNA from 1 species